rnacentral:rRNA from 1 species
AAGCAUCUUCGGAUGUGUAUAAAGUGGCGAACGGCUGAGUAACACGUGGGCAACCUGCCCUUUGCACUGGGAUAGCCUCGGGAAACCGAGGUUAAUACCGGAUACUCCAUAUUUGUCGCAUGGCGAAUAUGGGAAAGCUCCGGCGGCAAAGGAUGGGCCCGCGGCCUGUUAGCUAGUUGGAGGGGUAGUGGCCUACCAAGGCAAUGAUGGGUAGCCGGGUUGAGAGACCGACCGGCCAGAUUGGGACUGAGACACGGCCCAGACUCCUACGGGAGGCAGCAGUGGGGAAUCUUGCACAAUGGGCGAAAGCCUGAUGCAGCGACGCCGCGUGCGGGAUGAAGGCCUUCGGGUUGUAAACCGCUUUCAGCAGGGACGAGGCCGCAAGGUGACGGUACC